GACGAACGCUGGCGGCGUGCUUAACACAUGCAAGUCGAACGGAAAGGCCCUGCUUUUGUGGGGUGCUCGAGUGGCGAACGGGUGAGUAACACGUGAGUAACCUGCCCUUGACUUUGGGAUAACUUCAGGAAACUGGGGCUAAUACCGGAUAGGAGCUCCUGCUGCAUGGUGGGGGUUGGAAAGUUUCGGCGGUUGGGGAUGGACUCGCGGCUUAUCAGCUUGUUGGUGGGGUAGUGGCUUACCAAGGCUUUGACGGGUAGCCGGCCUGAGAGGGUGACCGGCCACAUUGGGACUGAGAUACGGCCCAGACUCCUACGGGAGGCAGCGGUGGGGAAGAGUGCACAAUGGGCGGAAGCCUGAUGCAGCAACGCCGCGUGCGGGAUGACGGCCUUCGGGUUGUAAACCGCUGUCGCCUGUGACGAAGCGUGAGUGACGGUAAUGGGUAAAGAAGCACCGGCUAACUACGUG
rnacentral:rRNA from 1 species